GGUAAAAUAAAGUAGUUUUGAAAUAACACUUUAACUUUUUCUAUAAAGAAAGGAUUGACAUAUCCUUAGAAUAUAAAUUCUAGAAGAUGAUCGAUGAUGUAAUUACUCGAACGCUUCUUGCAUGGUUAGGAGUUUAUUCAUUUAUCUUAAUUUCAUGGGUAAUUGCUAAGUAAGCAGCUUAAAUGAAUAAUAAAACUUAUACAUUGAU
rnacentral:sRNA from 1 species